AGAUACCCCACUAUGCCUAGCCGUAAAAAAUUUAUUUACACUAAUAAGCGCCAGGGAAUUACGAGCGCAAGCUUAAAAUCCAAAGGAUUUGACGGUGUCCCACCCACCUAGAGGAGCCUGUUCUAUAAUCGAUAAUCCUCGAUAUACCCAACCAUUUCUUGCUUUUCAGCCUGUAUACCUCCGUCGUAAGCUUACCAUUUGAAUGUAAAAAAGUAAGUUUAAGGAUCAUUCAUCAACACGUCAGGUCAAGGUGCAGCCAAUGUAAUGGAAAGUAAUGGGCUACAAUUUCUAUCAUAGAACAAACGAAACACUGCAUGAAAAAUUAGUCAUGAAGGCGGAUUUAGUAGUAAAAAAAGAAUAGAGUGCUUUUUUUAACAAGGCCCUGGGACGUGUACACACCGCCCGU
rnacentral:rRNA from 1 species